GUCUUCGUGGCUCAGUUGGUUAGAGCGCCGGUCUCAUAGCAUUUCAUGAUUCCUAUGAUCCAAUCUCAAGAUUGGGCAAUCCGGAGAUCGCCAGUUCGAUCCUGGCCGAGGACA